CCCUUAGAUGUUCUGGGCCGCACGCGUGCUACACUGAGUGGAUCAGCGGGUCAGGUUGCGCGAAAGCGUUUCCUAAUCUUUAAAUCCGCUCGUGAUGGGGAUUGACGGUUGCAAUUUUCUGUCAUGAACGAGGAAUACCUUGUAAGCGCGGGUCAUCAUCCCGCGCUGAAUACGUCCCUGCCCUUUGUACACACCGCCCGUCGCUCCUUCCGAUUGAGUGGUCCGGUGAGGCUUUGGGAUCUGAGCGGAAAGAGCGUUUCGCUGUUUCUGCUCGGAAAACUCAGUCGAACCUUAUCAUUUAGAGGAAGGAGAAGUCGUAACA
rnacentral:rRNA from 1 species